GAUGAACGCUGGCGGCAGGCCUAACACAUGCAAGUCGAACGCGUGGCGGACGGGUGAGUAAUGUCUGGGAAACUGCCUGAUGGAGGGGGAUAACUACUGGAAACGGUAGCUAAUACCGCAUACCAUCGGAUGUGCCCAGAUGGGAUUAGCUAGUAGGUGGGGUAACGGCUCACCGGGGCGACGAUCCCUAGCUGGUCUGAGAGGAUGACCAGCCACACUGAAACUGGGACACGGUCCAGACUCCUACGGGGGGCAGCGGUGGGGAAUAUUGCACAGUGGGCGCAAGCCUGAUGCGGCCAUGCCGCGUGUAUAAAGAGGGCCUUCGGGUUGUAAAGUACUUUCAGCGGGGAGGCGUUACCCGCAAAAAAGGCACCGGCUAACUCCGUGCCAGCGGCCGCGGAAAAC
rnacentral:rRNA from 1 species